CGCGUAGGCGGAUCUGCAAGUCCGUAAGUGAAAUCCCGCCGCUCAACGGCGGGGCUGCUUGGGAAACGGCAGGUCUGGGGACCGGUAGAGGUCGGUAGAAUUCCCGGUGUAGCGGUGGAAUGCGUAGAGAUCGGGAAGAAUACCCGUGGCGAAGGCGGCCGACUGGGCCGGAUCCGACGCUGAUGCGCGAAAGCGUGGGGAGCAAACA
rnacentral:rRNA from 1 species